CGGGAAUGAAAAGUUCUUUUUAAUUCUUUGCUACAUGUGUACAAUGGAAUCACUAAUGACAGCUUCAAUUACAACCUGCGUUUGCAAAAGAUUUUGCAACCCGACGGCUAAAGGAGAGAUCCAUUUGAAGUACACUUGAAAUACACUGUCUAUGUUCUUGGCAAUGGAAGAAUGAGACUUUUUCUAUUAUUCAACUUUUGUUUACGGAUUAAAUGCUCAACAUGGUGUUAAUUUAAGCACACCUACGUCUUUUAGCAAUCCUGUUGCUGGAGGUAAUAAUAGUAUGGACAUGGGGGUAG